rnacentral:rRNA from 1 species
GAGUUUGAUCGUGGCUCAGAUUGAACGCUGGCGGCAUGCCUUACACAUGCAAGUCGAACGGCAGCAUGAUCUAGCUUGCUAGAUUGAUGGCGAGUGGCGAACGGGUGAGUAAUACAUCGGAACGUGCCCUGUAGUGGGGGAUAACUAGUCGAAAGAUUAGCUAAUACCGCAUACGACCUGAGGGUGAAAGUGGGGGACCGCAAGGCCUCAUGCUAUAGGAGCGGCCGAUGUCUGAUUAGCUAGUUGGUGGGGUAAAGGCCCACCAAGGCGACGAUCAGUAGCUGGUCUGAGAGGACGAUCAGCCACACUGGGACUGAGACACGGCCCAGACUCCUACGGGAGGCAGCAGUGGGAAUUUUGGACAAUGGGCGAAAGCCUGAUCCAGCAAUGCCGCGUGUGUGAAGAAGGCCUCGGUUGUAAG